rnacentral:lncRNA from 1 species
CAUUAACAUGGGUUAAGAUUAUUAAUUGAAAUCAUUUCAAUUUUGUAAAAUAAUUUUACAACAAUUUUAUACAAAAUUUUUGUUCUGAAAACUAGAAUGGCUCACCCCUGAAUUGAGUUGGCUCACUUUAGUAGGUCAAUUAAGUCUAAUACUUGAUCGACUAACUGAUCAUAAACAGUAACCAUUACUAUUCGGCUUAAGACAACU